UACGGAGGAUGCAAGCGUUAUCCGGAAUGAUUGGACGUAAAGCGUCCGCAGGUGGCUAUGUAAGUCUGCUGUUAAAGAGUGAGGCUCAACCUCAUAAGAGCAGUGGAAACUACAUAGCUAGAGUGCGUUCGGGGCAGAGGGAAUUCCUGGUGUAGCGGUGAAAUGCGUAGAUAUCAGGAAGAACACCGGUGGCGAAAGCGCUCUGCUAGGCCGCAACUGACACUGAGGGACGAAAGCGUGGGGAGCGAACAGG
rnacentral:rRNA from 1 species